AGAAGUGAAGUGAUGUUGACAAACCUGUACACUUAUUAAUAGUAAGUGGAGAGGUAAGAACUUUAAAGUCAAGUUUACUGACUUCGCAGCUGAGGACUAUUCACCAGUAGUACCACAUUUUGGACAGUGUGACAUGUUUGUUCUCAUCUCUUAUUUCAUUUUAUCUCACAGUGAUCUUUUAAGGCAGGUAGAAUAGUCUAGGGUAGUGGGAAUCGCAGGUACUAAUUCUGUGAGCCUGGGCAAAUUAAAUUAUUAGACCCCAGAUUUUUUGUCAGAAAAAAUAGGGAUAAUAAUACACACGGAGCAGGACUGUUAUAAGAAUUAAUUAAUAUAAUGCUUGUGAAGUGCCUGAACAUAGGUGCUCAGAAAAUGAAUUCAUUCCCUCUUCCUGUAGGACAAGAAAAAAAUUCCGCUUUGCACAUAACAUAAUUGCUGUGCCUUUUGCUUAACUGACUUACCCAACUCGCCAAGCUGGUGUCAGGGCAGUGACCAACCAAAAUUCAUGUCUUGUUAUUUCAAAUCUGCUUGUUAUUACUUUUACACACCUUAUAAUGCCUUCAAAUGUUCACUGCUAUUUUCAGUUCUUUCUCAAUUCUUUACAAAAUUCAUUUGCUUAAAUACCCAAAGGUAGAAUAAAAUACUUGAACUGAAAUCUUAGCGCUCUUUGCCCGAAGGUGAGAGACCACAGGUGUAAUGGAUGAGCAGGAUGUGGAGUCAGGAAGCCCGCGUUGGGCCCCCGGCAGUGGCAGUUACUAAGCUAUGUGAAUUUAGGCCAAUCCUCUGACUUAGCUCAUCUAUAAAUGUUAUUUCAAUCCGAACUUCCUGAGAGGAAGCCUAAAGUACAUAAUGUUUCUGAGAGAGAAGAAAAAGCUUGUAAAAUAAUCGACUUAGCUUACCCCAUGCUAGUACAUUGCUAGAAAGACACUGUCUCAUUUAACCUUUAUGGCAACUCUGUCGGAUAUUUUUCCCUGUUUUACAGAUGAGGAAAUGAAUAUUAAAAGAUUGUCAGAGAGUUAUAACAUUUAUAUUUGGUUAUUAUAUUUAUGGUUUGUUGGACUUAAUUUUCAAGUUUCUUGACUAAGUAGUUAAAUGGGGAAGAUGGGUGGGGUCUAUUUGGAUGCCUCCAAUUUAUACAGUUUUGUUUAUAAAUACAAAGUUUUAUAAUUGUCACAAUUUUCAUGAUUCCUAUAGGAAUGACCAAAAAUAUAGUUUCCAUAACAUCAGUGUUUCAAACUGAGCCAGCAAGGAUAAAGUUCCAUAACUUAGGAAAAUUUUACUUAGUGAAGGCAUUUAAGUGUCUGAAUUUCAGCUUCAGCCUAGGGGCCUAGGUAUUUUGCAAGUGGGUUGGUGCAGGUUCAGAAAGCCAAAAUGACUCAGCCAGGAAGGAAUAUAACAAGAUUUUAUGUCUGUGUGAAUGUGCUCUUUUUAUUCCUUCCUUCUUUCUCUGUCUCGUUUUCCCUAUUUAUCCGUUUAUAUAUUUAAUUUGCUAAGAUUUGAGUUUUUAAAAAGUCCUAUACUUUUACUGCUUUCUUGGAGCUUGUAGUGUAUUGGGGGAACAUUCUAGUGAGAAACCAUUACAGUACAGUGAGAUUACAGUGAGGCAGGUGCUACACUAAAGAUGAGGGCUAGCUUUAAUUUUGGCAAACCAAUUGAUUUGACAUUAUCAAUUUUGCUUAGAGGAUGGCGUCAAGGAGUCUUCACAGAUGAGGAGUCUCUUGAGCCGAUUUUUUUUGCCAGAUGCUUUUAAUUUUAAGUAACAGAAAAUUUAUGUGAACAAUAUAUAAAUUUAUAUAAACAAUAUAUAAAGAGGGGCUUUUAUUGUAGAGAUUCUGGGGUAUUAACAUCAAGAAUGGCAACAUGGCUGGACCUAAGGAAAGUCUGGGUCCAUUUAUUUGAACAUUAACAUUUGAUUUCUCUCCAUUUCUCAUCUCUGUUUCACUCAGUGCAGAUGGUCUCCUCUGUCUCUUGGUCACUUUGACAGGAGGUAUUGUCACUGACAAUUCUAAAGCUUUAUAUCUCAUAGCCUCAGAGACUAAAAGAGGCUGCUUCGAUGAACUGUCCACUUUUCAAAGUUCUAAGGCCAAAUUUCCUGGGGAAAGGAUUCACUGGGUCUCUCUGAGACCAAUCAGUCAGAAGUAGCGGUGGGGCAGGCUUACUUAGAAAUGGGCAGCUUCCACAGGAGCUUCAUCAAAGGAGUGGAAAGGUGGCAACUCCUCAAAGAGGGGACGAUUAGACUCACAGACAAGUGGUUCUCAAGGUAUAGUCCCUGAGCCCCUGAAGAUCUCAAGGCCAUUUUAGGGGGUUCAUGAGGUCAAAACACUUUUCUUAAUAAACCUAAGCUAUUAUUUUCUUUUUUUUCACUCUGUUACCAUUUGUAUUGAUGGUGCAAAAACAAUGGUAAGUAAAACUACAGGUGCCAGAGCAUGAUAAGCAGUACCAAAUUAUGUAAGUAGUCAUUGUAUUCUUUAAUACUGUGUACUCACAGUAAACAAUGCCAGUUCUCUUUAAGAAUUCUCUCGAAUAAUCAGUAAAAAAUAUUACUUUUAUUAAAUAUCAACCCUGUAUAACACCUUUUUAACAUCUGUGGGGCAAAGUAGUUGUGCCAUGAAGGUUUUUUGCUCAUACUAAAGUACAAAGGCUGCCUUGAAGAAAAGUAGUUGUGUAAUUUAGUUGCAAGCUGAACUAGCUGCCUUUUUUCACAGAAAAAUCUUUUUAUUUGGAAGAAUGACAUAGAAAAACUAUGGCUGUUCAGAUCUGGGUGUUAGGCAGACAUAUUCCUAAAGAAAGUAUAUUAAUUUAAGGAAAACAACUAACACUAUUUGUUGGCCAUGAUAAAAUUUGAGCUUUCACACAAAAAUCAUAAUUUUGGAAUCUGCCACUGGGAAUUUGAUGGUUUCCUAAUACUUAAAGCCUUUACUGAAAAGAUUUGUGGUGACAGUGAAAAAUGUAAUUUUUUUGAUAUUGUGUGGUCAAUGUAUCAAUUUUUGGAUAAUCUACAUGGCUCAGUAAAUGGGUGUUUUUCAAAUGACCCACACAUGAUGCUAUAGAGAUCACACAUAAAAGGCUCAUUUAAGGUUGACCAAUGGGUUUUAAUGUAACACAAUACAAAAAGUUCAUCAGUAUAGUUUCAGACUCCAUAUUGCAGCUAAUAAGAGGUUAUCACUUGUUGAAUUUUUGUGCAGAUUGAAUUAAUACCCACAAAUUAUUCCAAAUUUUCUUCAUAUACUUCAACCAAACCAACAUAGCAAUACAGAUUGAAUGUAGAUGCAGAUAUCAAAAUCUGUAUCCUAUGAAACCAAACGUUAGAGAAAUUUGCAAAAAUGUAAAGCAAUGCCAGUUUUUCAUGAAUUUUUGAAAACAUAUUUUUAAAUGAAAAAUUUUUAUAUAUUUUAGCACAUAUUACUGUUAUUUGAAAAUGAAUUUCAUGUAAAUAGUAAAAAUUGUUCUCAUUUUAAAUUUCUACACGGUAAAUAUUAAUAGAUAUAAAUAACAUGAGCAAGUCAUCUUGCAGUCCCCAAUAAUAUUUAAGAGUAGACUCUGACUCUGAGACCAAAACAUUUGAGAACUCCUGCCUUAGAUACCCUCCACAGUCUUUAAAUAUGAACAAAGGCAAGCCAGGUGGGUAAGAGAUGGAAGAGCAUUCCAGUGAAAAGACAGGAGGCAUGAGGCAGUGUGACUUCAGGAGUUUAAGAAGAGAUGCAAACGGGAAAUGGAGUAUAUGGAGUAGAUUAUGGGGAGAUAAAGUUGAAACAAAAAAAUUCAGUGCCAGGUUAUCUGGAGCCAUACAAAGGUUUUAAGUAAGAAAUGAUGUAAUUGGCUUUGGGUUUGGACAUGGCAUUUUGUUGUCAGUGUGGAAGACAGGUAGGCAAUGUGGGUGGAGUGAGGGCUGGAUAAAACUAGAGACAGGGAAACAAGUGAGGAGGCUUCUGUCAAUAGGCACAGAAAAGAAGAGAGACUGAAUUAAGGCAAUGGUGGUAGGGAUGAAAAGGAAGAUGCACGUUGUGCAGAAUUUUAGGAAACAAUUGAAAAUAAUGCCAUCUGGAUGGAGGCUAUACAGAGUAGAUUUAAUAGCUGGACCCCUGUAGGAAGUGAGCGAUUAUAGUAGUUACUAUCUCUGGGAUUCUUUAUUUUAAUAAAUUAAUAAUUACUUUAAGAGAGUCAAGUCUAACUCUAAGUCCCAGGCUCCCAAAGUUUACGUUUGCAAAGUGGCUAUAUUACUUAAGACUAGGUUUAGCUGUGUAUAAUAUUCAUAGGAAAUACCAAACAAUCAAUAGUGACUCAAACAAGAGAGGAGUUUGCCCCUCAUGCAAAAGAUGUUCAGGGCCAUUUUCUGCUUUACCACCAUCAGUAUAUUGCUUUCAUUCUCAAGGUCACCUCAUUGUCCAAGAUGGCAGUUGGAACAUUACAUCAUUGUUCCAGGCUGGCAACAGGAAGGAGGAGGAUAGGACAAAAGGGCCCAGUUUCCAGUCAAGUCGGUUUCCUUUAGCAGCUUUUCUGCUAUUUCUACCACUUUUCAUUACUUAGAUCUUUUUCAUUUUACCACAGUCAGGUGCAAGGAGGAUAGGAAACGCAGUCUUUUAGCUAGGUUCAUUGCUGUCUCAAAUAAUUUAGGCUUCUAUUACAAUGAGAGAAGGGGGAAAUGUUUAUGAGAUUGUAUUCAGCAGCCUCUGCCCCAGAGAUCUAGAGUUCUCUUUCCUCUCCCCAGAAAUGUCUUUAUCUAGAAUUACUUGUCUUUUCCUUUUACCAUGGGAAUUCCUGGGAAUGACAAGGACACCUACUUUUUUAUUUGGAAGGCUCUUACCUGGCAACUUGAAAGUUCCAUAACACAGUCUGAGAACUGAGAAUAAAUAAAUCCCUGGGACGUCUCAUUUCUUCUUUUUCUGAGCUACUAUAAUCAUCUUUUUAAUUGCUUGUCCCAUUUAUUUGCAUUUUUUUUUACUGCAAUUCAACCUACACAGUGUGGCAGGAUUAAUUUUUCUGAAGUAAAUUUCAAGUCAUGUUAUUUCAUUUGUCAAGAAUCUUAAUUAAUUUCCCAUAGCCUCCUGAACAUUCACAAAUGCCCACAAAGCAUUCAAAGUCCUCUUGCAAUUUUACCAAAAGCGACAUUUCCAGGCAUACCUCCCAUACGAUAUGCUUUAGCUAAAUGGGGCCUAACAAAAUAUGGAAAACCUAACCUCUGUGGUUUUGCUCAAGUUACUAUAGCUUUUACGAAUUCUAGCUCUGCAAUUGCAUAGGACUGUAAAAAUUACGGAGGACUUCUUGAAUUCCAGUUUCCUCUCAACACCAUUUAUUGACGAGACAUGCCAAGAUCCCACUCUGUGACCACAGAUACAUUCUAAAUGUUAUGCUUCAAGAGCACAUUUUUCUUAGCCAGAGCAAUUAGGUAAUAAAAAUAAAUAAAAGGCAUUUAAAUAAAAAAGGAAGAAGUUAAAUGGUCUUUGCCGGCAACAUGAUCUUAUAUAUAGAAAACCCUUAUAUAUAGAAAACCCUCCACCAAAAAAACCUGAUAAAACUAAUAAACAAAUUCAGUAAAGUUGUAGGACACAAAAUCAACAUACAAAACCGGUAGCAUUCCUGUACACUAAAAACGAAGCAUCUUAAAAAGAAAUUAAGAAAAUAAUCCCAUUUAUAAUAGCAUCAAAAUAUACCUAUAAAUAAAUUUAACUAAGGAGGUUAAAGGUCUAUAUACUAAAAGCUAUAAAAUGAAUGAUGAUGAAUGAAAUUGAAGAAGAUACAAAUAAAUGGAAGGAUAUCUUAUGUUUAUGGAUUGGAAGAAUUAAUAUUGUUAAAAUGUCCAUACUAUCCAAAGCAAUCUAUAGAUUCAAUGCAAUCUCUAUCAAAAUUCCAAUUAAAAAAAUCCAAUGAUAUUUUUAACAGAAAUAGAAAAAAAACCAAUCCUAAAAUUUGCAUGGUACCAUAAAAAUCCUCUACUAGCCAAAGCCAUCUUGAGCAAAAACAACAAAUCUGGAGGCCAUCAUACUACCUGAUUUCAAAAUAUGUUACAAAGCUACAGUGAGCAAAACAGCAUGAUACUGGCAUAAAACCAGACAUAGCAACAAAUGAAACAGAAUAAGGAGCCCAGAAGUAAACCCACAUGUAUAUAGUCAUGAUUUUUUACAAAGGUGUUAUAAUGUAUUAUUUCCCCAAGAACAUGUAAUGGGGAAAAGUUAGUCUCUUCAAUAAACGCUGAUGGGAAAACAGGAUAUCCACUUGCAGAAGAAUGAAAUUGGACCCUUUUCUUAUACCAUAUGCAAAAAUAAACUCACAAUUGAUUAAAGACUUGAAUGGAAGACCUGAAACUGUAACACUACUAAAAGAAAACAUAAGGGAAAACCUUCAUUCCUUUGGUCUGGGCAAGGGCUUUUCAAUAUCACCCCAAGAGCAAAGGCAGCAAAAGCAAAAAUAGACAAAGAGGAUUGCACCAAAAACAAAGCAUCUACACAGAAAAGAAAACAAUUAACGCAGUGAAGAGACAACCUAUGAAUUAGAAGAAAAUAUUUGCAAACCUGGCCGGAAGCAGUGGCUCAUGUCUGUAACCCCAGCACUUUGGGAGGCCAAAGCAGGUAAAUUGCUUGAGUUCAGGAGUUUGAGACCAGCCUGGGAAACAUGGCAAAACCCCAUUUCUACAAAAAAUACAAAAAUUAACAGGGCUUGAUGGCACACACCUGUAGUCUUAGGUACUUGGGGGGCGGAGGCAGGAGGAUUGUUUGAGUUCAGGAGGUGGAGGUUGCAAUGAGCCAAGAUCGUGCCACAGCACUCCAGCCUGGGUGACAGUGCCAGAACCUGUCUCAAAAAAAAAAAAAAAAAAAAAUUGCAAAUCAUACGUUUGAUAAUGGGUUAAUAUCCAAAAUAUAUAAGGGAUUCAACAAAUUGACAAUAAAACAAAUAACCAGAUCAAAGUUUAAAAAUGGGCACAUGAUCUGAAUAGACAUUUCUCAAAAGAAGACAUACAAAAGGCCAGUGGGUAUAUGAAAAAAUGCUGAACAUCACUAAUUAUCAGGGAAAUGCAAAUCAAAACCACAAUGAAACAUCAUCUCACACCUGUUAGGAUAAUUAUUAUAAAAAAGAUGAAAGAUAACAAGUAUUGGUAAGGAUGUGGAGAAAAAGGAACCUUCCACAUUGUCGGUGGAAAUGUAAAUUAGUACAACCAUUAAGGAAAACAGUAUGGAGGUUCCUCAAACAAUUGAAAAUAGAGUUAGCAUAUGAUCCAGCAAGCCCACUUUUGGGCUUCCAGUGGAAAUUAAAUUAGUAUCCCAAAGAGAUAACUUCAUGUCCAUGUUCAUUGCAGCAUGAUUCACGAUAGCCAAGAUCAGUGUCCAUCCACAGAUUAAUACAUUAAAAAAGUGGUAUAUAUGCAAAAUAGAAUACUGUUCAGCCUUAAAAAAGAAGAUAUUCUGUCAUUUGCAACAACAUGAAUGAACCUGGAGAAAAUUAUGCUAUGUGAAAUAAGCCAGGCACAGAAACACAAAUACUGCAUGGUCUUACUUAUAUGUGAAAUCUAAAAAAAUCAAACUCAGAAGCAGAAAGUAGAAUGGUGGUUACCAGCAGAUGGGGACUCAGGGGAAUGGGGAGGUGCUUGUCAAAGGAUACAAAGUUUCCAUUAGAUAGGGGGAAUAAGUUUUGGAGAUCUAACGUACAGCGUGGUGGCUAUAGUUAAUGAUAACGUAUAUUCGAAAAUUGCUGAGAGUAGAUUUUAAAUGUUCUCCCCCAAAAAUUAAGUGUGUGAGAGGAUAGACAUAUUAAUUAGCUUGAUAUAGUCAUUUCACAAUGUGUACAAAACAUCACACUAUACCCUCAAAAAUAUAAAUAAUCAUUAUUUUAUGUUAAUUAAAAUGUUAAGAAAAAAGAAAAAGAAAAGAUCAUCUUCCUUUAACCCAUGCUAAACCACCGCUGAUAGUCUCAGGGAAGAACAUAUUGCUUAGAAGUGCAAGAGUCUGGCCAUGUGCGUAAGUGCUGCUCCCACAUCUCUGACAUAGAAUCCUACAUUGUGUCCCUAACCUGAACCCUGAAGUUACUAAGUGGACAGGAUUUGUUGUUGCUGUUCACUAUUAUCCUUGGCUCCCUUUCUGACUCUACUCAACAACCCAAAUAUUGUUUUGCUUUAAAAGUAGACAUUGCCGCAUUGUCUGCACACGCACCUUUUUCUUUUAUCUAAGAUAUAUUAUUAAACUUACAAACUAACCAUUAACAGAAAUUAAAGCCCUGGGAAAAUUAUCAAGUGCCAAGGACUUAUUAAUAAGUAAAGCUUUGUUUUCACAUUGGCAAACUGAUAAUCCCCUGUGCUCCGGUCUCUUGAAAGUUGUCAUGGUAUGCAGUCCCUAAAGGGAAUCCUGCCUGCUGUACUCCUACCUGCUGUUUUUGGAAAUGUGUUGUGGGGACACAGACGGGUAGAAUGAGGACAUCUGAAAUCUGUUCUCUACUUUUACCCAAGAUCCACGAUAAGGUAUAAUAUAAAUUGUUCUGGCAGUCGAUUCAGAGAAAAUUCCCCUGUGUGUACUAUGAAAUUUGUAGGACACUCAGCAAGGCUUUUAAUAUUUUGAGCCUGAAUUUCCUCAUCAAUAUUUGGAAAUUGGCACCUGUAGAACAAUUCACUUUUCACCCUGCCAAUAGCCAUUUAAGAAAGUAGGGCACUUCUUGUUAAUAUCACCAUUUAAAAGGCUCAGACUUGUUAAAUAAUUUAUUUAAUAUUGUUUUCUAACUUAGGGUAAGUAAAUGUCCAUUCUGAGAUUAAAUUCUACCUCCACUGGUUUCAGUUUUAUCACCUAUAGAACAUAUUAUAAUGUUAUAUUACAAGACAAUUUUGGGUACUAAAUGAGACAAAAUAUGUGGAAAUUUCUGGUGCCUGGUAAGUGCUCACUAGGACUGGUUUUGAGAAAUGCAGCUAAAUUAAAAUGGAGGUCUUGCAAAUGACUAGCUUCAAAGCUCUGUUAUGGAGACAUGUAUUAUUUCUCAGACAUUUUCUGAGACUACCUACCAUCUGCCCUGUUAUGUGCUGUGUACUGGGGUUACAAAGAUUAAUAAGCCAUGACUCCUGCUAUUAAUGGAGUACAUGAGUUAAUGUAUAGAACAGUGCUUGGCACAGAGUAGGACCCAAUAAAAGUAAGUUUUGCUAUAAUAAUAAUAAUAAUUUCAUAUUGUUGUUCUUGUUGUUAUAUCUGCCUUUUCCAUGGUCCCCCAGAAAAUAGCAUCUGGGCCAAGAUUAACUGCUGAUGCUCUAUCUGGGAGCUGUAAAGAUAGGGCAAUAAAAAUGGGGGAAAAGAAAUUGAGUCAGGGAAGUAUAGGAAGCAGUGCAGUGUGAUGUACUCAGCAAAUAGCUUGUUGGAGGUGCGUGUUUGGCCUUGCAGAAUGCCUUUGGAGAGGCUGUAAAGAGAAAGCACACCACAGAACAGUACUUGAGAAGACGAAGGAAGAGGGAGUUUAUCUGUUUGGCUCUCUCCAAUCUUUUCGUUUUCCCUACUAUUCAAACUUUGCCCCCAAAGAUAUCAAUUCCUCUGCGCUUUCCAGGUACAUUAUUUGGCUUCCUGAGUGGCUUUUGGGAAACUAGCUCCUGAAUUCUGUGGUAGGGUGUUUGAUCUAAGGGCAGAAAUGGCUGGAGAGACAGAAACACUGGACACAUGGCUGGUCAGCCUGGUUGUGUGGUGUCUGUUAUAAAAGAGAGUCCAGCUUUCCUGAGCAAGUAUGUGUUUAGCUUCAUUUGGUAGAACCACACUGACCUGUACUAAGUGUGUCAAUACAACAAUGCCAAUGCAAAACAAAUAUCCAAAGGCCUCUGAGAUGGGUGAAGCCCAUCUAAAGCUGACCCAAGAUGUCGCAUCUGUUCCCCUCCAGGGCCAUUCCAAACCCCCCUUGCCCUCUUAUUUCUGGCUCUUGUACUACAAUAUGGGGUCUCCCCCGAGUAUUUUUUUUUUUUGGUGUUCUUAUUCCUUCCCAAAGAGGGAAGAACAGGUCCAAUCACUGGUAGAAUCCUCCUCUAGAUUGUUUGUCAUUUGUUGUCUGCAAGACUUAAGCCACGAAGGUUACAGAAACAAAGUAUAGUUUCUGCUGCUGAAACUGAUGCUGAGGCCGUGAAUGACAUUUAUUAUCUCCAUCCUUUAUCAUUUUAGAUUUCCCUCACCAUUGGCCAAUAUUUCAGUUAGUCCAGUUAGUUGCCUGUUGGGAUAAGACAGACCCUCAUUCCUGAUGGAAAUAAGCCCUUACUUGCCCAACUCUGGUUGGGUUUGUGGUUACUGUCAUUGCCCAUUGAUGAUUAUUAGUUAGCAUGGAAAUAUUAAAAGACCCUUCAGUGAAUUGCCUGAGUUCCACAUAUAAUCUUCCCUGCUGCGUUUAUGACAUAGUAACUUCUUUCUUUGCCUACAGUUCCACUGAAAAGAUGUGCUUAAAGUAGGCACGUCAUAAUUACAGUGUUUCCAGUUUAGUGGAACCAUUAUUUAAUUCUCUGGUGGAUGUGUACCCUAUACUCAAGAACAAAGUUGUGGGAGAAGGAAGCACAAUCUUGCAAGUAGGUCCCUGGAUGUGAGAGUGGGCAUACUUACUUUCACCCCUUGAUACCUGACCCAUACACUGUAGCUAUUGUAGAUUCAGUGCCAUGUAUAGUUUUUUUUUUGAUUCAGUACAUAUUCCAUAUUCUGGAAGUUGGGAAGCAAGGCAAGGUGAUGUGUUACUCAUCAUCGGUUGCUUCACAAACACCAUAAAUAUUGACCUCAGAUCUCUCAGCAGUUGGGUCCACUUGGCCCCAUGAAACAUUUCUCAGCAGGAUGUACAAAGAGCCCAGGUUUCAGAGCACUCCCAGAGAGGACAGAAGGAGAGACAUUUUACUUGCUUGAUUCCUUUCUUUAUCUCACUGGUUAAAGUUCACCUUCUUGGGAGUUAAUUUAUGCACAUUUCUAGGUUGUGUCAUUUAGUUCUUUAAUAUAUCGUUAUUGGCAGUUAGCAUUAUAAGUACUGCUAUUAUCAUCCAUAAUUAUCAGUCUGUCUAUGCCAGGAGAGAGAGGUGCAUAACUUUACAUUUGUAUCUGUAUCUAUAUCUCUAUGUAUCAUGGUAAAUAAGUGACAAAUAUAUGUACUGUGAAUGUUGUUGCUCUGAGCAGGAAGAUUUAAUCAUGUUGGGGAUCUGAGGCAUUAGCUAAGAUAUGGAGAAAGGGAUUGCUUGGAAAGUGAAUUCCAGGCACAGGAAUAGCAUGAACAAAGACCCUGAGGCAAGAUAUACUGAGAAAUGUGCAGGAAGGCAGGGUUUUCCAGUUAAGUAGGAGCAACGUCAUAUAGGAUCCUAAAUUUCUAUUGAGAACCUUGAAACCAUUCAAACAUUGGCAAGUUGCUCAUUGUUAUCCUUCCUGUGCUUCAAAUUCCUCAUUCACAUCAUAGGAAUAAUAAUGAUGCCUACCCAACUUUUUUAUUGCUAGCCAUGGAGCAAGCAAGCAUUCAUUAAAAGUUAUACAUUAUUAGGCAUCAGGAAGUCAUGAAGUAUUCUCAGUGGCAGAGUGACAUGGUCAGAUUUAUGCCAUUGGUGUAGAGAAUGGAUUGGAGGGCAUGAGGGUCAGAUGCAGAGAGACUAGUUAUUUGUUGAUAUAAUAUUGUAAUAGCCCCAGGGGGUGAUGGUGACCUAAACUAGUCCACAAUCAGUGGGAAAGUAGAGGAACUAUUCAGAUGGCAAAAGGUACAGGACUUGAUAGGUAAUUGAUUGAAACUAGUGAAUGAGGGGGAGGGCGGACUCAAAGAUCACACCCAGGUUUUGACUUGGGUGACUUGGUGACUAUAAUGAAAUAAAGUAAGAGAAAUACAAAAGGAAUAGAGAACAGAGAGUGUUCAGAAGGAGGGCAUCAUCAACAGUGCUGAACUGGAAAGGGCCAGUAAGCAAGGACUGAAAUGCCUCCAUUGUGUUUGUAUUCAUGAUCUUUGUGAUAGCACUUCCCAGAAGUCAUCAUUAUUAUUAUCCCUUCUUUACGGAAGAAAACACUGAGGCUCAGAGUUGUUUUGUGAGCCCAUAAGGUCAAACCGCUGGUUGGGUGCAGCAUUCAGUGUGGGUAUUCAUAGAUUGAAAGUAACAACAACAGCAACAACAGCAAGAACAACACUCUUAUUGAGUGUCCACUGUGGGACAGGCCCUGUACUAGGUGCUGGGAAGCCAAGAAAAGUACAACAGCUCCUGCCUUCAAGGAGACCACUGUUUUGGAAGCCACAUAAGAAAAAUACAUUUAAAUUUAUCACAGAGCUGUGGACAGAGUAAGGGGGCAGGCGGCACAAAGAAGUUUUGUGCUUGUGCUGGGGACAUGGAAAAGAUUUUGAAGUGGUGCAGUUGUUUUAGCUGACUCUUGGAAGAGGAGUAGGGAUUUUCCAGGUCAAUAGCCAGUGUGAGUUAGGGCAAAGGGCAAGGAGACAAGUAGGAAUUUCAGGUUAGGGAACAGCAAGUGCAGAGGCAGGAGGAUGAGAAACAGCCUGGCAUCCCCAGGAAACCCAAGCACUUCAGUAUGGCUAGAGGUAGGCUGGGGCUGCUUAGUGGGUGUUUGAAAAGCCACAUUAAGAAUUUUGACCUUGUCUUGCAGACCAGAGGCUCUUAAUGGGUAAGUUUCAGAAGGUCCGUGAAGUCCCUGAAAUCUUACUCAUAAUUCUCUAUAGAUCCCAGUUGACUCAGAAGUUGAGGGAGGGACUUCAAGAAGAAGGUAGUGAGUGGUUAUCAAUGUCAAAUUUGAAAACAGAUAUACAUCUUAUUCUUCUCAGGAGUUAAUUGUAUUUUAUAGACAAAACUCUAUGCAGUCUUCAGAUUGUUGAACACUUCCUACUCUGCCAGGCAGUCAGUGUGGGUCCUCUGAGAAUCAGACAAUUAGAUGUGCAAGAGAUUUAUUGCGGGAAAUGCUAACGAAAGGUAAAAAGGGAGGAAGCAAAAGGCAGGAGAAACAUUUAGACUGUGAGUCAGAUACAACUACUAUGAAGGGAGAGGAAGAAAGAUUGGGCAGGAAGAGCCUCAGGCAGGAAGAGCCUCAGACAGGGCACAUCUUUGAGUGGGAUUUCGCUAGGCUGAUUGGGAGUUGCCACGCAAAAGUUGCCCAUUAGAAAAGUCCUGUUUGGGAGCAUUAAAGACCUGAAUCUCAUAUCUCUCCUACCAUGCUCAGUCAGUGGCUAAGAGCAGCUUAGAGGAAGUAUGGCAUCACAGCCAAAUCAAUAUCACAUCAAAUUCCAAAGUGUGGCAACAGUAGGCUGCCAGUCAAAUACACUCCCCACAGCAGGUUCUUUAAAAGGGAGGUUUGACUCCGCUACACAAUAUUUCAGAUUGACAAAAAACUAAUGCGACAGAGUAUCGAUUGGUUACUGAAUGUUGUUGCUCUGAGCAGGGAAAGUUAAUCCUGUUGGGGAUCCAAGGCGUUAGCUAAGAUAUGGAGAAAGGGAUUGCUUGGAAAGUGAAUUCCAGACACAGGAAUAGCAUGAACAAAGAUCAUGAGACAAGAUAUACUGGGAAAUGUGCAGGAAGGCAGGGUUUUCCAGUUAUGUAAGAGCAACAUCAUAUAGGAUCCUAAAUUUCUAUUGAAAACCUUGAAACCAUUCAAAUACUGGCAAGUUGCUCAUUAAAUUGAAGCACAAAUUAUGUGCCAGAAUUAUGAAUAGAGUCUGCACUGAGGACAAAGAUCCCAGUUCCCCACGUUUUUUUUUUCUUUUUAUUAUACUUUAAGUUCUGGGAUACAUGUGCAGAAUGUGCAGAUUUGUUACAUAGGUAUACACAUGCCAUGGUGGUUUGCUGCACCCAUCAACCCAUCUACGUUAGGUAUUUCUCCGAAUGCUAUCCCCUACUAGCUCCCCACUCCCUGACAGGCCCCAGUGUGUGAUGUUCCCCUCCCUGUGUCCAUGUGUUCUCAUUGUUCAACUCCCACUUAUGAUGAGAACAUGUGGUGUUUGGUUUUCUGUUCUUGUGUUAGUUUGCUGAGAAUGAUGGUUUCCAGCUUCAUCCAAGUCCCUGCAAGGGACAUGAACUCAUCCUUUUUUAUGGCUGCAUAGUAUUCCAUGGUGUAUAUGUGCCACAUUUUCUUUAUCCAGUCUAUCAUUGUUGAUGGGCAUUUCGAUUGGUUUCAAGUCUUUGCUAUUGUGAACAGUGCUGCAAUAAACUUAUGUGUGUGAAGUAUCUAUAUAGUAGAAUGAUUUAUAAUCCUUUGGGUAUGUAUCCAGUAAUGGGAUUGCUGGGUCAAAUGGUAUUUCUUGUUCUAGAUCCUUGAGGAAUUACCACACUGUCUUCCACAAUGAUUGAACUAAUUUACACUCCCAUCAACAGUGUAAAAGCGUUCCUAUUUCUCCACAUCCUUUCCAGCAUCUGUUGUUUCCUGACUUUUUAAUGAUCACCAUUCUAACUGUGUGAGAUGGUAUCUCAUCGUGGUUUUGAUUUGCAUUUCUCUAAUGACCAGUGAUGUUGAGCUUUUUUUCAUGUUUGCUGGCUGCAUAAAUGUCUUCUUUUGAGAAGUGUCUGUUCAUAUUCUUUGCCCACUUUUUGAUGGGGUUGUUUGUUUUUUUCUAGUAAAUUUGUUUAAGUUCUUUGUAGAUUCUGGAUAUUAGCCCUUUGUCAGAUGGAUAGAUUACAAAAAUUUUCACCCAUUCUGUAGGUUCCCUGUUCACUCUGAUGAUGGUUUCUUUUGCUGUGCAGAAGCUCUUUCCUUUAAUCAGAUCCCAUCUGUCAAUUUUGGCUUUUGUUGCCAUUGCUUUUGGUGUUUUAGUCAUGAAGUGUUUGCCCAUGCCUAUGCUCUGAAUGGUACUGCUUAGGUUUCUUCUAGGGUUUUUAUGGUUUUAGGUCUUAUGUUUAAAUAUUUAAUCCAUCAUGAGUGAAUUUUUGUAUAAGGUGUAAGGAAGGGGUCCAGUUUCAGUUUUCUUUAUUAGUCUGGCUAGAGGUCUAUCUAUUUUGUUGAUCUUUUCAAACAACCAGCUCCUGGAUUCAUUGAUUUUUUUGAAAGGUUUUUCAUGUCUCUCUCUCCUUCAGUUCUGCUCUGAUCUUAGUUAUUUCUUGUCUUCUGCUAGCUUUUGAAUUUUGAAAUCUUCUGCCAGUUUUUCCAACACCAUUUAUUAAAUAGGGAAUCCUUUCUCCGUUGCUUGUUUUUGUCAAGUUUUUCAAAGAUCAGGUGGUGGUAAAUGUGCGGCAUUAUUUCUGAGACCUCUGUUCGGUUCCAUUGGUCUAUGUAUCUGUUUUGGUACCAGUACCAUGCUGUUUUGGUUACUGUAGCCUUGUAGUACAGUUUGAAGUCAGGUAGUGUGAUGCCUCCAGCUUUGUUGUUUUUGCUUAGGAUUGUCUUGGCUAUAUGGGCUCUUUUUUGCUUCCAUAUGAAAUUUAAAGUAGUUUUUUCUAACUCUGAAGAAAGUCAGUGGUAGCUUGAUUGGGAUAGCAUUGAAUCUAUAAAUUACUUUGGGAAGUAUGGCCAUUUUCAUGAUAUUGAUUCUUCCUAUCCAUGAGCAUGGAAUGUUUUGCCAUUUGUUUGCGUCCUCUCUUAUUUUCUUAAGCAGUGGUUUGUAGUCCUCCUUGAAGAGGUCCUUCACAUCCCUUGUAAGUUGUAUUCCUAGGCAUUUUAUUCUUUUUAUAGCAAUUGUGAAUGGGAGUUCACUCAUGAUUUGGCUCUCUGUCUAUUAUUGGUGUAUUUGAAUUCUUGUGAUUUUUGCACAUUGAUUUUGUAUCCUAAGAUUUUGCUGAAGUUGCUUAUCAGCUUAAGGAGAUUUUGGGCUGAGAUGAUGGGGUUUUCUAAAUAUACAAUCAUGUCAUCUGCAAACAGAGACAAUUUUACUUCCUCUCUUCCUAUUUGAAUACCCUUUAUUUCUUUCUCUUGCCUAAUUGCCCUGGCCAGAACUUCCAAUACUAUGUUGAAUAGGAGUGGUGAGAGAGGGCAUCCCUGUCUUGUGCUGGUUUUCAAAGGGAAUGCUUCCAGCUUUUGCCCAUUCAGUAUGAUAUUGGCUGUGGGUUUGUCAUAAAUAGCUCUUAUUAUUUUGAGAUAUGUUCCAUCAAUACCUAGUUUAUUGAAAGUUUUUAGCAUGAAGGGGUGUUGAAUUUUAUCAAAGGCCUUUUCUGCAUCUAUUGAGAUAAUCGUGUGGCUUUUGUCAUUGGUUCUGUUUAUGUGAUGGAUUACAUUUAUUGAUUUGCGUAUGUUGAACCAGCCUUGCAUCCCAGGGAUAAAGCCGACUUGAUCAUGGUGGAUAAGCUUUUUGAUGUGGUGCUAGAUUUGGUUUGCCAGUAUUUUAUUGAGAAUUUUUGCAUUGAUGUUCAUCAGGGAUAUUGGCCUGAAAUUUUCUUUUUUUGUUGUGUCUCUCUCAGGUUUUGGUAUCAGGAUGAUGCAUGCCUCAUAAAAUGAGUUUUUCUAUUGUUUGAAAUAGUUUCAGAAGGAAUGGUACCAGCUGCUCUUUCUACCUCUGGUAGAAUUCUGCUGUGAAUCUGUCUGGUCCUAGAAUUUUUUUGGUUGGUAGGCUAUUAAUUACUGCCUCAAUUUUAGAACUUGUUAUUGGUCUAUUCAGGGAUUUGACUUCUUCCUGGUUUAGUCUUGGGAGGGUGUAUGUGUUCAGGAAUUUAUCCAUUUCUUCUAGAUUUUCUAGUUUAUUUGCAUAGAGGUGUUUAUAGUAUUCUCUAAUGGUAGCUUGUAUUUCUGUGGGAUCAGUGGCAAUAUCCCCUUUAUCAUUUUCUAUUGUGUCUAUUUGAUUCUUCUCUCUUGUCUUCUUUAUUAGUCUGGCUAGAGGUCUAUCUAUUUCGUUGAUAUUUUCAAACAAACAGCUCCUGGAUUCAUUGAUUUUUUUGAAAGGUUUUUCAUGUCUCUAUCUCUUUCAGUUCUGCUCUGAUCUUAGUUAUUUGUUGUCUUCUGUUAGCUUUUGAAUUUGUUUGCUCUUGCUUCUCUAGUCCUUUUCAUUGUGAUGUUAAUGUGUCAAUUUUAGACCUUUCCUCUUUCUCCUGUGGGCAUUUAGUGCUAUAAAUUUCCCUCCAAACACUGCUUUAGCUGUGUUCCCGAGAUUCUGGUACCUUGUGUCUUUGUUCUCAUUGGUUUCAAGUAACUUGUUUAUUUCUGCCUAAAUUUCGUUAUUUACCUAGUAGUCAUUCAGGAGCAGGUUGUUCAGUUUCCAUGUAGUUGUGUGGUUUUGAGUGAGUUUCUUAAUCCUGAGUUCUAAUUUUAUUGCACUGUGGUCUGAGAGACUGUUUGUUAUGAUUUCUGUUCUUUUGCAUUUGCUGAGGAGUGUUUUACUUCCAAUUAUGUUGUCAGUUUUAGAAUAAGUGCAAUGUGGUGCUGAGAAGAAUGUAUAUUCUGUUGAUUUGAAAUGAAGAGUUCUGUAGAUGUCUCUUAGGUCUGCUUGGUCCAGAGCUGAGUUGAAUUCCUGAAUAUCCUUGUUAAUUUUCUGUCUCGUUGAUCCAUCUAAUACUGACAAUGGGGUUUAUGUACUGCUAAGAGAGGGGAAAAUGCUUACAAUAAAACCAUGACAUAUCAUUUAUUGAAAACCACAUUGCUAUUUCAGAAAUGUUGAUGCCUGAAAGAACAUAUAUUAGAAUUUAUGAAAUAUGGUGAUGAGUUUUCCAGAAACAUUAUCUAAUAAAUUAUUAUAAUUAUACUUGUAAUUGUUGUAAUUAUUUGUAGACAUCACCAGGAGAAGAUAAACAGACAAAAUCAGGGUGUAUUAAUCCAUUUGGGCUGCCAUAACAAACUACCACAGAUGGGGUGGCUUAUAAACAACAGAUAAAUUUCUCACAUUUCUGGAGGCUGGGAUGUCCUAGGUUAAAGCACCAGCAGAUUUGGUGUCUGAUGAGGGCCUGCUACCUGGUUCACAGACAGCCAUAUUCUUGCUUUGUCCUCAACAUAGCUGAGGGUCCCAGGGAGCUCCCUGGGGUUGCUUUUAUUAGAGCACUCAUCCUAUUUAUGAGGGCAGAGCCCUCCUAAAGCUCUCACUUCUAGUACCAUCAUGAUGGUGAUUAAAUUUUAAUUUAAGAACUUUGGGGGAACAAAAACAUUCAGUCUAUAGCAUAGAUAAGAUCAAAGAUAGUGUCCCUUUUCUAUAAGGUAACCAUUUAUACAAGAAGACUUUGAUUUCCUCUACUAUUUUUGGAUCUUUAUUAAACUCUGGAAUAAUUAUACUUGGAAGAGCAAAUGUAAGACUACAGGGCUUUCUUAUACAGUUAUGCAUAUAAGAUUUGCAUAUGCAAUUCAGAGCUUUCUUAUAUGGUUGUGGAAAUUGUGUACUGGACAACUAUAGGGAGAGUGGUUAACAUGGUAUACCAUAUGAAUCUUGCUCCCUAGGGUUGAGCAUUGCAUAUCCUGUGUGAAUUCAUGUGGUUGGCCUGCAUAAAUCUCAUAGCUAAGUCUACACAGCCUCAUCUCUGAUCCUUUUUUCUGAUAAGCCAGCAUCACAGCACAAGACUUCUGCUGGGAAAAGAGGGAAUGGAUGAGUUUGCAAUCAAUUUUGAGAUUAAAGUUUUAAGUUGUACAUUUAGUAAUGAAAAAUGACUAGAAAUGAUAAAAUCUACCUAAGAUAUUGCAAAGAAAUUGGGAAGGAUGAUUUGUCAGAAUGUGGCUGAAGGUGUUAAUGGCAAAAAAAGAAAAUAUAUUUGUGUUUUUACCACAUCAUAUUGAGAAUCCUCAAUAAUAUGGUUAUAUAAAAUUGAGAGAAAAACAUGUCUUUUGACUCAGAGAAAUCUUCAUUCUUCCUAAGACAGACAGACAUACGAUAAUGAAUUAAGUACUACUGGAGAGGAGGGUUCCAGUAGGUGCAAGGAGAGGGUAGGGAUUAGUCCUGAGUGGGCAGCAGAGGAGACUUCUUUGAAAAGCUGACAUUUUAUUUUUUAUUUUUUCAAAAAAAUUUUUUUAAAUUUUAGAUUCAGAUGGUACAUGUGCAGGUUUGUUACAUAAAUAUAUUGUAUCAUGCUGGGAUUUGGGCUUCUAUGGAACCCACCAACCAAAUAGUAAACACAGUACACAAUAAAUAGCUUUUCAACCGUUUCUAUUCUCCCUUAUUCUCCCCUUUUGGGGUCCCCAGUGUCUAUUGUUUCCAUCUUUAUGUCUGUAUGUACCUAUUGUUUAGUUUCCACUUAUACGUCAGAAGAUGUGGUAUUUGAUUUUCUGCUUUUGUGUUAGUUCAUUUAGGAUAACUACAGCUGCAUCCAUAUUGCUGUAAAGUACAUGAUUUCAUUCUUUUUAUGGCUGAAUAGUAUUCCAUGGUGUACAUGUACAAAAUUUACUUAAUCUAAUCCAUCAUUGAUGGGCAUCUAGGUUGAUUCCAUAUCUUUCUUGUUGUGAAUAGUACUGUGCUGCAGUGAACAACAUAUGAGUGCAUGUGUCUUUUUGGCAGAAUGAUUUAUUUUCUGUAGGAUAUAUACCCAAUAAUAUGAUUGCUGGGUUGAAUGAUAGUUUUAUUUAUAGUUCUUUGAGAAAUUUCCAAAGUGGCUGAACUAAUUUACAUACCCACCAACAGUGUAUAAGCAUUCCCUUUACUUUGCAUCCUCACCAACAGCUUUUAUUUUUGACUUUUUAAUAAUAGCUAUUCGGACUGGUGCGAGAUGGUAUUCCACUGUGGUUUUGAUUUGGAUUUCCCUAAUGAUUAGUGAUGCUGAGCAUUUUUUCAUAUGUUUAUUGGCUAAAAAGCUGAUAUUUCAUUUCAUUUUUUUAAAGGUUUAUGUUAGGUUCGGGGGUACAUGUGAAGGUUUGUUACAUAGGUGAACUUGUGUCACAGGGGUUUGUUGUACAGCUGAUUUCAUCACCCACGCAAAAAGCCCAGUACCCAAUAGUUAUUAUUUGUGCUUCUCUUCUUCCUCCCACCCUCCACCCUCAAGUAGACCCCAGUGUCUUUCAUUCCCCAAAAGCUAACAUUUUAAACCAGGCAAAAAUAUAAUAAUUUUAAUAUGAAGUGGCAUGUGAUUUCUGUUAAUGAUAAAAAAGAUAACAUUUGAAAAGGAGUCUUUUUGAUAACCCAUGUAUUAAGGACUAAAUGUUUGUACCUUCUCCCACCCCCAGAAUCAUAUGUGAAACCCUAACAACCAAUGUGAAUGUAUUUGGAGAUAGGGUCAUAAGCAGAUGGUAGAGUUUAAAUGAGGUCAUAAGGGUGGGGCCCUAAUCUGAUAGAGCUGUUGCACUUUUUAGAAGAGGAAGAGAUACUGGAACAUGUCUCUGUCUGUGUGCAUUCAGAAAGAAGGCCAUGUGAUACAGUUUGGAUGUUGCCUCCAACCAAAUGUCAUGUCAAAAUGUAAUCUUCAAUAUUGGAGGUGAGGCAUGGUGGGAGGAGAUUGGGUCAUGGAGGCAGGUUUCUCAUGAAUGGUUUAGCACCAUCCCCCUUGGUACUGUCUUCACAAUAGUGAGUUCUCAUGAUAUUUGGUCAUUUAAAAGUGUGUAGCACUUCCCCCUUCACGUUCUCUUGCUCCUGCUCUGGCCAUGUGACAUGCCUAUUCCCUCUUCACCUUCUGGCAUGACUGUAAGUUUCCUGUGGCCUCCCUGGAAGCAGAGCAGAUUCCAUCAUCAUGCUUCCUGUACAGUCUGCAGAACCAUGAGCCAAUUAAGCCUCUUUUCUUUAUAAAUUACCCAGUCUGAGGUACUUCUUUAUAGCACUGCAAGAAUGGACUAAUAUACUAUGUGAAGACAAAGGGGAUGUCUGCAAGCCAGGACGAGUGCGUCUACCAGAAACUGAGUUCUGCUGGACUUUGAUCUAGGACAUCCAGCCUCAAGAAUGAGAUGGGGUUGCACUAUGCUGCCUGAGCUGGUCUGGAACUCCCGGGCUGUAAUGAUCCUCUGGCCUCCUCAGCCUCCCAAAAUAUUGGGAUUACAGUGCAAAGGCCACAUAAGGACAGUGAGAAGGCAGCCACCUGCAAGCCAGGAAGAAAGGUCUCACCAGAUACCAACCCUGCCAGCAUGUUGAUCUUGGACUUCCAGCCUCCAAAACU